GGGAGUGUAGCUCAAUUGGAUAGAGUACCGAUCUUCUAAAUCGGCUUGUGUAGGUUCGAGUCCUAUCGCUCCUG
rnacentral:tRNA from 1 species